GACAAAAUACCUGACACUGCCCACGUGGUGGCUGCAUUUUGCUGCCGACUACGCUCACUGUAGACUACUUUCAUGGUGCUUCUAAUUGGCUGCAUGGCAGUUUCAGUGUUCACCGCAAGUUCACGUUCAGAGCCGUUGCGCCCAAGCUGAUUUUGACAGCCAGUUUUGGUAAUGGCAAUUCUCGACUUUUUUAUCUGUGCUUUUGAAAUGGUUUCUGGUAUUUUGUUUGAAUCAUUGACGUUUUUUGUUUUAUGGCUGUCGACAGCCAAGUUUUAUUUUAAAACAUUUAAAAAACACUGCUAGUGUUCAUAUUUAUGCGUGACAGUGGUUUAUGUGGCAAUGUCACGCACGGCAUGCUAAUGGAUAAAGUGCAACAUUCGACACAGUCUGCAAUGCUGCGAGGACCCACAGCAAUUUUGGACCAGUUCUAGGAUCCUUGGGAGGCUCUGCUUAGAUGGACAAAUGUGCAUGAUCAUGAUCAUGAGGACAUGCAGCAAAGCAACAGGGCAGAUGAAGUAUUGCUCUCCAGAUCCCUUGCAAGACGCGAAUUCACCGGGAAGUGCGUGGAUGUCGACGUCCAUGAUUGUCCUUGCCAUCGUGGCGAUGAUUAACUUGUUAUGCAUUUAGUAGUCGCUAAUGCUGUCCAUGCUGGCUCUUCUGCAAUUUCUAUCGCUCUUGUCAGUUUUCCGUUUAUGCUUCUAGCGCAUUAUCCAAUUCGAUUUUUUUACAUAAUUAUGUUGGUGUUUUCAUGAAAAAGUAUGUCUCGGAUGUUAGUUUUUUUGUGUAAAACUAGUUAUGUGAAACAUGCCGAAAUAAAUACAAAAUGGUAUCUGAUAUCCAUAUCUAAAUGUUUCAUAUUCGUAAGUUUUAUAUAAAAAAGGAGGUAAUCUGUAAUAUCUAAGGCUA